rnacentral:lncRNA from 1 species
AGCGGAAUAGGAAUCAAAUUUUUAAAAUUUAGACUCAAAUCCUCACGUAGGCCUAGAUCUGUAGGCUCUUUACUUCGCAUGCACGCCAAGCUCUGCAGGAAAGUAGGAUGAAGCCUCAGAUUGAAGCACAUUCGCAAGGCUACUAAGAGAAAAAAGAGAGCUGCUGGGGUGAUACCUCACACCAACAAGGAGGACACCUAAGAGAGGGGCCACGGCA